rfam:Schistosoma mansoni strain Puerto Rico chromosome W, complete genome
AGCCUUCCGAAUCCGUACAGAGAUUUCGUCACACAUCAGACCAUCAAUACUGAUGAGACUCACAAAAUAAGCAAAGUG